CUUCACCGACCCCAGCCACAGCGGCCGCUCCGCCGGCCGCUCCCGGCCGUAGGUGGCCAGCAGGGCCUGGGCCUC
rnacentral:antisense_RNA from 3 species